UCUUCACAACCGCAAAGCAGGACUACGCCGAGAAGGUUCUGGAUGUGCUGGACCCCAAGAAGAAGCUGAUCAGGCGCUGCCUCUCCCAGCGGGACUGCCUCUGCGCCCGGGGCUGCUACUGGAAGGACCUGACCCGCCUGGGCAGGGACCUGGCCAAGACGGUGGCCCUGGACCACACCAUCCAGGGCUUCCCCGCCCAGGCUGCCAACUGGAUCCCAGUGCCGAGGUGGUGGGGGGACCCACGGGAUGAAGAACUGCUGCGCC